rnacentral:rRNA from 1 species
AAACGCUUGGAGUCAGUCGCGUCCGCCUGGACUCAGCCGUGGUUCUCCGCGGUGUACUUCCUGGUGGAUGGGCCAGCAUCGAUUUCGUUCGCCGUACAAAGGCGGGAGGAAUGUGGCACCCCUCGGGGUGUGUUAUAGCCUCCCGUUGUAUGCGGCGGAUGGGAUCGAGGAACGCAGCGUGCCCGAAAGGGCUGGGACUCGUCCACACACACGCUUCGGAUGCUGGCGUAAUGGCUUUAAACGA